AGGAGUUUGAUCCUGGCUCAGAACGAACGCUGGCGGCAUGCCUAACACAUGCAAGUCGAACGAGACCUUCGGGUCUAGUGGCGCACGGGUGCGUAACGCGUGGGAAUCUGCCCUUGGGUUCGGAAUAACAGUUAGAAAUGACUGCUAAUACCGGAUAAUGUCUUCGGACCAAAGAUUUAUCGCCCAGGGAUGAGCCCGCGUAGGAUUAGCUAGUUGGUGAGGUAAAGGCUCACCAAGGCGACGAUCCUUAGCUGGUCUGAGAGGAUGAUCAGCCACACUGGGACUGAGACACGGCCCAGACUCCUACGGGAGGCAGCAGUGGGGAAUAUUGGACAAUGGGCGAAAGCCUGAUCCAGCAAUGCCGCGUGAGUGAUGAAGGCCUUAGGGUUGUAAAGCUCUUUACCCGGGAUGAUAAUGACAGUACCGGGAGAAUAAGCCCCGGCUAACUCCGUG
rnacentral:rRNA from 1 species